CCUUAGAUCUGUCACAACUUUGUACUGGUUUUGUUCUAGAUUCAGUGACAACCGAAACGUGACACCACGCAGCUGUUAAGGAGCUCUUAUCUAGUUCAAGAGGUCAUCUUAGUUAAAUAAGCCACAAAUGCAUGAAUAAUUAUAGUCAGAAUAACAUGAAGAGGCCUUCACAGCCACCUUGACUCUGGUCUGGUAUAAGGACAAGACGGUCUGGAAUGUUACAUUCUUCAUCUCGUCUCUACCUUCUCCCUACAGUAGAGAUACUGCAUUUUUUAAAACAAUUUGAAGGUUUGUGGCGGCAACCCUGUGUCAAGCAAGUCUACUGGCACCAUUUCUCUGACGGCAUUUGCUCACAUCGUGUGUCUGUAUCAUACUUGAGUAAUUCUCACAAUAUGAGAAGUUAUUAUUGUAUUUGUUAUGGUGAUCUGCGAUCAGUGAUCUUGACUCACUGAAAGCUUAUAAUGGUCAGGAUUUCUUAGCAAUAAAGUGUUUUUAAUUAAGGUA